GAGAGGAGGUCCCCAAAUGAUGCGGAGCAUCAUUUUUGCAUGGGACCGACGAAUUGCCGCCGAAGCGUAGCUGAGGGGGCAACACCAUAA
ncrna:unclassified sequences GA-cis RNA